AGCUACGGUCAUCGAAUGAACAAAAUUCCGCAUCCCGUUAGCUCUGCGCAGACAAGUUUCAUAUCGCUCGGUCAGUACCAAAGUGGGGGACCAUUUGGGCACCCCGAGUACUGUAGUUU
rfam:Cryptococcus bestiolae CBS 10118 unplaced genomic scaffold supercont1.3, whole genome shotgun sequence.